UGGCUGGUUCGGUAUCCUCAUCC
rnacentral:misc_RNA from 1 species